AAAUAGUUGAAGUUUGAGUAAGAAGUUGCCAAGAAGUGGUUGUCCACGUCGCCGAAACGCGUGUUCACCGUUGUCCACGUCAAGGAAACGCGCCGCCGCCGCAGCUGCUGCUGUCCAACCCGUCCGAUCGUUCUGCCGUCGUGGUCCGAUUGUUCUGCCGCCGUCCGAGUGAGGUUGGAAGAUCAAUGGAGUGCUACUGCUAGGACUUGCGCGCGAGGGAGAGGGAAU
rnacentral:misc_RNA from 1 species